rnacentral:rRNA from 1 species
AUUGAACGCUGGCGGCAGGCCUAACACAUGCAAGUCGAACGGUAACAGGAAGAAGCUUGCUUCUUUGCUGACGAGUGGCGGACGGGUGAGUAAUGUCUGGGAAACUGCCUGAUGGAGGGGGAUAACUACUGGAAACGGUAGCUAAUACCGCAUAACGUCGCAAGACCAAAGAGGGGGACCUUCGGGCCUCUUGCCAUCGGAUGUGCCCAGAUGGGAUUAGCUAGUAGGUGGGGUAACGGCUCUCCUAGGCGACGAUCCCUAGCUGGUCUGAGAGGAUGACCAGCCACACUGGAACUGAGACACGGUCCAGACUCCUACGGGAGGCAGCAGUGGGGAAUAUUGCACAAUGGGCGCAAGCCUGAUGCAGCCAUGCCGCGUGUAUGAAGAAGGCCUUCGGGUUGUAAAGUACUUUCAGCGGGGAGGAAGGGAGUAAAGUUAAUACCUUUGCUCAUUGACGUUACCCGCAGAAGAAGCACCGGCUAACUCCGUG